UGUGCCUUGCCCAUGGCCACAGCUGUUGACAGGGCGCGCUUUCUGCAGCCCAGUCCCUGUGAGGAGCCCUCAUGGGGCGCUUUUAUCUGAAGAGUUCCUUUGCCCCUUUAGACCUCCCUGGCUUAGAGCUGACGUUCUCCCUGUCAUAUCACUUACGCUCUGAUCAGAGGUGUUUAUCACCCUCUUCUUCUGAGUGAUAUUGUUGCUGUGUAAUUUACUUACUUGGCUGACUUCAGCUUGGAGGCUUGCACUUUGUUGACGGAGAUUGUUUCUAGGGAUUAUCUAAACCUCUUCUCCAUUACCAUUUUUGAAGUGAACAUUAUACAGCUUCGAUGCUGAAGUACAGCUCCCUCCAGCCUUCUCUCUCUUUCUGCAGCCAUCACACACAAGCAUGCCGAAGCCCUGUGUUGGAAUGGAUGGCUCCUGCCUGGGGGCCAUCAUUAUUCCCUCGCCACUUGCCUCAGCAAACCUUGGGGACACUGAAGGCUCCAAAGGAAAUGGCAAACUACCACAGUAUCUUUGCCAAGACCAGUCAAAAUGAGGCCAUGGAAAGUUGGGCAUGACUGAACAACAACAAGAAAAUUUGACCAGGCUAAUAUUGAAAUGUCUUCAGCACAUUUGCCCAGCAGCAUGAAGAGAACAUGUGAAGGGGAGGCAGGAGUUGUAAAUAGGUGACCUGACACCCAGGCUGUGUGACCAGAGGCGAGCUGGUUUACUUUCCUGAGACUACAUUUUGUUGAUCCAAUGGGAAUAACGAUACCUACCUUUCUGGCCUCUCAGGGUUAUAAAACUGACAUGAAAUAAUAAAUGUGAAAGUAGAACUUUCCA
rnacentral:lncRNA from 1 species